UGGGGAGGAACACGAGGGACUGGCGACGAACACAGCCCCGGCCACCGCUGAGGUGACGAAGGGAUGCGGAGUGCGGGAGGGACCGCGGACGGGACCGACCGAACAACCGACCGAGGGGCGAGGACGACGGAGAGCAGCAGCGGUGCCGGGCUCGGCGACAGCAGAAUAAAAACCAGUUUUCUACACCUUGUAACUGCACCCAGAAACCUGGUGACAAACCCUUUGUAAAGACAAGGGACAUGUGGCUCCCCGGGAUGGUGCACCCCGAGCAUGUUGGAGUCAGCUAACGAGGAAAGAAGACGUCACUACAUCUGCUCCCCAUUAAAAGCCUCCCUCAUUUAGCAGAGGGCUGAGCUGUAUGAUGUUGCUUUCAGCCUGGGGAAGUAUUUGCUCUGGCUCCAUCAGCCUCUCGGAAUCAGUUCAAAACUGAGAAAUGAGCAAGCAGCAAGAAGCGUCUAAUGAAUCCAAAUUGUACCCACGCCUGAAACCCCUGAAGAAUCCAUAAGGAACCAGGGACCCCCCACCAUCCCACAUUCCCGACCCCCAGGGUUACGGCACAAGCACGGAACCUGGCUCCUGCUCCCACCGCGAG